GGCGGCCGGGGCGCACUUCCGGGCCCCCCCACUCCGACAUGGGGCACUUGCUGCGGCGUGACUCAAAUAAGUGCUUCCAUGUUUGAGCGCGGUGGCCCCGGCGGCUUCGGAGGGGACCAC
rnacentral:pre_miRNA from 13 species